GCCAAGUCUGAACUCCAAGGCAUUUCUAUCAGCAAUUGCAUGGAAAGAUGAUGGUAGCCCAUGUGUUUGCUAAUUCCCUGCUUGUAAGUUUCCUCUGGAUGAAAGCAGGAGCCAUACCGCAUAAUGAGGCAUAUCCCCAGCAGGGCCCUGGGUCUCAGCUGGUGCUGCAUUAAAUACCAGGGUGUAUGAGCAGCCAGAACUGCAGAUCGGUAACAUUGAGCCUUCCCCCAGCUCCCUGGCAUCAGCAUUCUGGGAGGUGGUUUGGGUGCUCUCGAGGCGUGAGAUUUUUGUGAGGGUGGCCCUUCUGCAUCACUCAGCUGUCAUCAGGUAGUUAAGAUGCCGCCUCUGCCUCUUUGAAGCUGGGCUGGGGGAGGAGGUGGGAACAGAAUCCAGAAGUUAAACUGCGUAACUCCUCCCUUUCCAAGUUUAUCUAUCUUUGAGGGAGGGUUUCUCACUGUUCCCUGCACACCCCAGUGCUUCUCUGCCUUUGUACAUACUCACCUCAUUUUCUCUUGUGCAGAUUUCACUCUCUGUCUCUCUUUGUAUUUUUUUUUUUUUUCCCUGGGAGAAUGUCUUGGUCUAUCACUUAGGCUGGAGUGCAGUAGGGCAAUCAUAGCUCACUUCAGUCUCGACUGCCUGGAUGAAAGUGAUCCUCCCACCUCAACCUCCCAAGUAGCCAGGAGUACCGGUGUGUGCCACCCUGCCCAGCUAGUUUAAAAAAAAAUUUUUUUUUUUACUCUAUUUCAUUGUACUUUGGGGUGUUGGUUUGUUUAUUGAGACAGAGUCUCCUCCGUUGCCCAGGUUGGAGUGCAGUGGUGUGAUCUCAACUCAUGCCACCUCCACCUCCUGGGUUUAAGCAAUUCUCCUACCUCAGCCUCCUGAGUAGCUGAGAUUACAGAUGUCCACCACAACACCUGGCUGAUUUUUGUAUUUUUAGUAGAGAUAGGGUUUUGCCAUCUUGGCCAGGCUAGUCUCGAACUCCUGACUUCAAGUGAUCCACCUGCCUUGGCCUACCAAAGUGCUGGAAUUACAGGUGUAAGCUACCACUCCUGGCCUGUUUGUUUCUGUUAUUAAAAUUCUAUUUGUGGGUUAGAAUUCCACCAUCCCAAGAAAGAAUGGAGAACAGAUUCUGCCUAACAGCAAGUUUGAGAAUUUCAGUCAGAUGACAGCCUAAAAGAAAGGGGAUGAUAUUUUCAUGGAGUCUUUAAUUUAUAAAUAUACAUGCCCACACAGGUGACAAAAUGAUAUGCAACUUAAUACAUACAAACAAAUGAGUUCAAGCAGAACUGGGGAAACCUGAAUGAGAUUGGUAGAUUGUAGUAAUAUCAAUAUCCUGGUUGUGAUAUUGUACUGUAGUUUUGCAAAGGUUUGGUGGAAACUAGGGAAAGUGUAAAAGGGAUAUUUCUCUGUAUUAUUUUCUAUGGCUGCAUGUGAAUCUACAAUUAUAACAAUACAAAAUUUAAAUGAAAAAGAACUGUGCAUUUUAACUGCUAGAUACUAACACAUACCAAAUAAGUUCCAAGACCUCAUGGAGUUGAGCAUUCUGAUCAAAUCUUGAUGACAAACUAAUUUUUUUUUUUGAGACGGAGUUUCGCUCUUGUUACCCAGGCUGGAGUGCAAUGGCUCGAUCUUGGCUCACCACAGCCUCCGCCUCCUGGGUUCAGGCAAUUCUCCUGCCUCAGCCUCCUGAGUAGCUGGGAUUACAGGCACGCGCCACCAUGCCCAGCUAAUUUUUUGUAUUUUUAGUAGAGACAGGGUUUCACCAUGUUGACCAGUAUGGUCUCGAUCUCUUGACCUUGUGAUCCACCCGCCUCAGGCUCCCAAAGUGCUGGGAUUACAGGCAUGAGCCACUGCGCCCGGCCGACAAACUAAUUUUGAAGAUGCUGUUGACCUUUUAUUGAUUCACUAUCCUCCUAACAAAACAGGGAAAGCCCACAUCAAGAACCCUGAGGGUAAAAAAGAAACAUCCAGCCAGAAAGCCAGGCUCUCAUGACCUGCCACUGUGGAGUAAGAAACACACUGCUGGACAGCACUCCCGACUGGGAUGGGCAUCUGCCGGCUGCUUGGUUUCCCCUUCCCUGGCUGAUCAACAGGGGCCACCAAAAAUGGUGGUGUCAUUUCUCAGGCUGCAGAGGGCUGGGAUGAGGGCAGUUCCUACCCUUUUGUAGAAUGCUGUUCAUGAAGAGGAAUGACUGAAAAUCUGAACAAGGGAGGAUUAUGUUGCAGAGACUCAAACAUGUCAUGUGAAGAGUGGUUAAAGAAGCCAGAGAACUUAAGCCAGAGAAGGAAAGACCCAGGAGAAAGGCAGCAGGUGGUGCUGAUAACUAUUUUCUCUCUCUCUCUUUUUUUUUAUGAAAGAAAGAAAGAAAGAGAAAGAGAAAAGGGGGAGAGAGAACAGGAGUCUUGCUCUAUUUCCCAGGCUGGAAUGCAAUCUAAAAGUAGGUAUUAAAAGCCUCUUUUAUGCCGAUAAUUGUGCUUAACGAUGGAGACAGGAAGGAAUAAGGAAAGAAAAUAACAAACAAACAGCCAACCAAUAUUUCAUUUAAGUCUGUGAAAUGCUAUGCAAAUGCUGAAGAGUGAUUUGCUUCCAUUUAUGUGGUCACUUUCAAAAUAGGUGUAAUGUAAUACUAAAAAAAAAAAUGUAUGUUCUGACUGGCUGCUCUGAAAAGCCAUCUUUGCAUUGUUCCUCAUCCGACUCCUUGCUCGCAGCAGCCCCUCCGCCGUCGCCGACUCCGGCAGCUUUAUCGCCAGAGUCCUUCAAAUCUCGCUUUCUUUUUAAUCCCCCGCAUCGGAUCACCGGUGUGCCCCACCAUGUCAGACGCAGCGGUAGACACCAGCUCCGAAAUCACCACCAAGGACUUGAAGGAGAAGAAGGAAGUUGUGGAAGAGGCGGAAAAUGGAAGAGACGCCCCUGCUAAUGGGAAUGCGAAUGAGGAAAAUGGGGAGCAGGAGGCUGACAACGGAGGUAGAUGAACAAGAGGAAAAAGGUGGGGACGAAGAGCAGGAGGAAUAAGAAGGUGAUGGCGAGAAGGAGGAUGGAGAUGAAGAUGAGGAAGCUGAGUCUGCUACGGGCAAGCAGGCAGCUGAAGAUGAUGAUGAUGAUGAUGAUGAUGAUGUCGAUACCAAGAAGCAGAAGACCGACUAGGAUGAUUAGACAGCAAAAAAGGAAAAGUUAAACUAAAAAAACAAAAAAAAAAAGGCCGCCGUGACC